GCCCGCCUAGCUCAAUCGGAUAGAGCGUCAGACUUUUACGCACAGGCGGGCAUCUGAAGGCUGCGGGUUCGACCCCCGCGGUGGGCU